rnacentral:rRNA from 1 species
AUUGAACGCUGGCGGCAGGCUUAACACAUGCAAGUCGAGCGGAGAUGAGGUGCUUGCACCUUAUCUUAGCGGCGGACGGGUGAGUAAUGCUUAGGAAUCUGCCUAUCAGUGGGGGACAACAUUCCGAAAGGAAUGCUAAUACCGCAUACGUCCUACGGGAGAAAGCAGGGGAUCUUCGAACCUUGCGCUAAUAGAUGAGCCUAAGUCGGCUUAGCUAGUUGGUGGGGUAAAGGCCUACCAAGGCGACGAUCUGUAUCGGGUCUGAGAGGAUGAUCCGCCACACUGGGACAGAGACACGGCCCAGACUACUACGGGAGGCAGCAGUGGGGAAUAUUGGACAAUGGGGGAAACCCUGAUCCAGCCAUGCCGCGUGUGUGAAGAAGGCCUUAUGGUUGUAAAGCACUUUAAGCGAGGAGGAGGCUACUGAGACUAAUACUCUUGGAUAGUGGACGUUACUCGCAGAAUAAGCACCGGCUAACUCUGUGCCAGCCGCCGCUGUAACAC